rnacentral:lncRNA from 1 species
AUGGGUUUUAUGGAGCUACAGAACUGUAUAAUAGUGUUUCAGGACACUCUGGUUAGUAGCAGAAUGCCUCAGAGCGGCUACACUGCGUACCGCUACACUCAGCCGGCGGCAGUAGCGAGUCCCACAGCGGCGGCGGCAGCGUAUGGAGUCGGUGCGAUGGUAAGCUUGGUCUCCGUCUGUGUGUCACGCUCUCAGAUCCUCAGACGCUUUCUAACCAAACCUCUCUCUCGCAGGCCACUCUCUACAGAGGAGGAUACAGCCGGUUCUCGCCAUAUUAACACACUUCCAGAUCUGCUGUCUCUCUGAACUCCACCAACAGCUGCUGACCUCGGAGGGAAAAAUCCAAUCACACUCUUGGACACACACAAAAAAAAAGACGAACGACGUCUUCCAAGAAGGUGGAUCUCUUUUUUUGUUGUUUUUAAAGGAAACCUGACGACGUCGAACACUAAAUGGAAACGGAUCUCUGACUGAGAAGCAAAUCAUUUCUUCCUCUGGCUCUCUCUCUCUGCACAUAUGCAUGCAGUAACGGCUCUAGACUGCCUCUAGUGGCCAUUGAACUACAUGUGCACCGAGCGUCAGGACUGCACCCUUCACUGUCUCACACUACAAUAAUUAUCAAUAUUCUUUAAGAAAUAUAGACAUUCGUCCGGACCGCUCUUAUCUCCGUUUUAAGGAUCAUCUUGAAAUCGGUGGAUCCCAUCAGCUCUGUGAGGGAGGACGAGGCUCUUAUCCCAAAUACAGCGACGUGAUGAGAGACUUCCAUCAUGGUCUUCCUCUCUCUGGAAAGAUCACGGAUGAAAGAAACUCCAGCAGCUGUUACAGAUCACUGAAGCGUGACGCACACAACGGGACGACGUGUCAUAAUAAUCCGUCUUGCUGAAAGCUUUGUGUUCUUUAAACUGUACCUCCGUUCAGACCAAUUUCAAGAACUGUACCUUUAAAAUUAAAUAGUCAUUAUAUGCAAGUAAACUAGAAUAGACACAAAAUUUUACCAAACAUUGUUAUUAUUAUUAUUAUUAUUAUUAUUAUUAUCGUCAUUAGUUCCUCAUGGUUGUGUGUUGGACAUCAUCUGAACCCACACUGAUUCACAGAAAGACUCCAAACACAGGCAUAAUGACUAUAGCAAGUAUCUAAAUUAUGCUACAAAAUAUUUACAACUUUUCCUUCAGAUUUUUGGAUCCAAGAGCCCUUGUUUUGGAAUAUCGACAAGCUCUUUUAUUAGCGUAGUUUUGUAAAAUAUGCAACUUUCAGCCCAAAUUUCAGAAAAGUGGAUCAAAAAAACGUUUGUUGAUUUUUAAAGAAGAAACCCAGUAUUUUUUGUCUUUCUUGCAGAGUGUGUCCUCUCUCACUUCAGUAUAUUGGUCUUUUGCUUUUUGGUUUUGUAUGAAUAGGUUUUUGAUAUUGUUUGAAGUGGUUCGGUAAUUAUUUCAAAAUAGCUGGACAUGGAUUGCGAUCCAAGACCGCUUUCCUUAUCUGUGAAAACAAACACACGUGCAUUUCAUGUUGUUCGUUUUUUUGUUUUGUUUUUUUGUUUUCUUUUCACAAGACAUCAUGCGUUUCAGUAGAUUCUAGGUGUAAGUGUAUCCGGGUCCAGGACUGAAAACAUUUAGUCAGUUUAGAGUUUCAGAGUAAUUUCACCUCAGCUUUGUUGAGAGGAUGAGGGCCGUGUUUCAUUGACACUAAAGAAAAACUGACCACAGUCUGAACACUAAACCAGACAGCUUUAUUUAUUAGUUUUUUUGGUUAAAUGGUACUUGCAGUCUAUGCAUACACUCUCCACAGUAUUAUAAGAGAUUAAAAUGAUCUCUGCUCCUAAAUUCUGAACUUCUUGCUUUUAAAGAUGCUUUUGGAGAAGAUUGGUCAGAUUGGCUGGUUUCUCUCUUUCUGUCCUUCGUUGGUUUCUCCUGCAGCAGCUGCACCUUUCGUGCCGUUGUGGAUCAAUGGGAGGUCUUUGCUAUGAUUAGACGGAUUUCUCGCAUGACGCUCGUCUUCUGAUGAUGGAGUGAGAAGGUUAAAAUCCCCUCCAUUCCUGCAGUAAAGGGUUAAAGAUGGCGUCUCUUUUAUUCUCCAUUCUCGCACCUUAUGAAUAUGAUACCUGUUCCACAUACUCUCCUUUGGUUUACAGUGUAACCGUGUUUUUGAGUUGAACUCUCUUUCUCUCUCUACAUAUUCUGAUUCCAUUUGUGAUGUAAUUUGUAUCUGAAUCUCCAUAUAAACUGUUUUUUUAAAACAACCACUCGAUGGGUCUUUGAUUUCAGUCGACUGUGCAUUAAUAUUGUAGAUGGACGUUAAAUAAUUUUAGGUAAAUAUUGUGAAAGAUUUCUUCUAAUUUGUGCGUUUAUGUCAGAGAGCUCUCGGAUUUCAUCAGAAAUAUCUUCAUUUGUGUUCUGAAGAUGAACAAAAGGUCUUACAGGUUUGGAACGACAUGAGGGUGAGUAAUUAAUCACAGAAUCUUCAUUUUUGGGUGAACUAUCCCUUUAAAGACUCGCUCGGAGCCAAAAAGAAUAUGUGCAAAAAGUGAAAGCGAUAAUGCUGGUUUACCAUUAGUUCGUGACAUAGUGAGAAAAAAUAAUAAAAAUUGUAGAACUACAAAUUAUAAGAAAAAUUUAAAUAUAGAGACACCAAAUGUGUGGUGUGGAGUCUGGUUUCUCUCUUUCUGUCCUUCGUUGGUUUCUCCUGCAGCUAGCUGCACCUUUCGUGCCGUUGUGGAUCAAUGGGAGGUCUUUGCUAUGAUUAGACGGAUUUCUCGCAUGACGCUCGUCUUCUAGAUUGAUGGAGUGAGAAGGUUAAAAUCCCCUCCAUUCCUGCAGUAAAGGGUUAAAGAUGGCGUCUCUUUUAUUCUCCAUUCUCGCACCUUAUGAAUAUGAUACCUGUUCCACAUACUCUCCUUUGGUUUACAGUGUAACCGUGUUUUUGAGUUGAACUCUCUUUCUCUCUCUACAUAUUCUGAUUCCAUUUGUGAUGUAAUUUGUAUCUGAAUCUCCAUAUAAACUGUUUUUUUAAAACAACCACUCGAUGGGUCUUUGAUUUCAGUCGACUGUGCAUUAAUAUUGUAGAUGGACGUUAAAUAAUUUUAGGUAAAUAUUGUGAAAGAUUUCUUCUAAUUUGUGCGUUUAUGUCAGAGAGCUCUCGGAUUUCAUCAGAAAUAUCUUCAUUUGUGUUCUGAAGAUGAACAAAGGUCUUACAGGUUUGGAACGACAUGAGGGUGAGUAAUUAAUCACAGAAUCUUCAUUUUUGGGUGAACUAUCCCUUUAAAGACUCGCUCGGAGCCAAAAGAAUAUGUGCAAAAGUGAAGCGAUAAUGCUGGUUUACCAUUAGUUCGUGACAUAGUGAGAAAAAUAAUAAAAUUGUAGACUACAAUUAUAGAAAACUUUAAUAUGAGCACCAAUGUGUGGUGUGGAGUGUGGUUCUUGCGAGAUGAAGACGGGCACAGCGAGUGCACCGCCUGCCCUGACCGCGCCCACGCAGAGGCUGUGCUCGCUGUUGGCUCGUGCUCUAUUAGCAGCCUCUCCCCCCUCAAGUCCUCGCGAAGGCCGUGGAGGAUCUAGGCCUCGAGUGGUUGGCUCCGGACGAGCCCGCCCACGGCUUACUGGAUGAAUGGUUCCUGCCAGAGACCCGCCAGCGAUCCUCCCGUCAGCGUCCAGCCCCGUUCUUGCCAGAUGUCCAUGACGAGCUCACUAAGACGUGGCGAGCUCAUUACUCGGCACGGGUGAACCCCUCUACUGCAGCAGCUCUCACCACCGUUGACGGUGCUGAUGAAAGGGGAUACACCAAACUUUAUUACUAACAAGUGUUCCAAGCCAAACUUCUCCGUAAUAUGGACGAGUCUGACCAGGAGCACCAGGAGCCAGUUAAGGAGUUGCGCACAGCAACGGAUCUCACUCUGCAUGCUACAAAGGCCACAGCAGAAGCAAUCAGCAAGACCAUGGCCAGCCUGGUGGUGCUGGAGCGACACCUCUGACUAACGCUGACAGAGAUCAGGGACGCUGAGAAAAUGGCCUUCCUCGACUCGCCAGUCUCGCCGAAAGGGCUAUUCGGCUCCGCUGUUCAUGGGUUCACUGAACGGUUUUCAGAGGCUCAAAAGACGUCGCAGGCAAUGCGUCACUUCCUCCCUAAAUGCCCUGGCACCACGGCUGUGGGCUGCCAGAAGAGCCCCACUGCUCAGCCUGCAAAGCCAGUGCAGUAUCAGCCUCAGCAGAAGAUGGAGCCUGGGCUGAAACAGCAAUCCAGGCCGGCGAAACGCUUCCCCUUCCGAAGCGUCAAGGUCCUGCCCACGAGUUGUGCUGGACCCUGAGCCGCCGAAGCCAUCCUGAGGCGCUAGAGAGGAAAAGGAGGGGCCCCGUUCUCACCUUGGCCGGAACGCCCCCAAAACAGCUCGCCUUCACUCCUCACCUCUUCGAACAUCUCUGAGAGACGGAGUUUCGUUUUCAGCAGGUCACGUCCUGCAGGUGCAGCGCGUGCCUGAAUAUUUUACCGCUGUGAUAGCAGACCCACAUACUUUAAAGAGCAAAAUUCCUCAUCCUCUCUCAAUUACUUAUACUAACGUAGACUCGAUGCUUUUUCAAGGCGAGCUCUCGUUCGAGAAAAUAAAACCUGUCUGCGCAGCCAUUCCGGGAAUAUCGAGAUGGGUUUUGGAAACAAUUCGACGAGGCGACUCACUGCAGUUCACUCAAGUGCUUACUUUCACAUCCACAUAGCCCCCUGUCACAGACCGUUCUUGAGAUUUGUGUACGAGGGAGUGGCCUAUCAGUAUGCACUCCUUCCAUUUGGACUGUCCCUAGCCCCACGCAUUUUUACGAAGUGCAUAGACGCGGAUCUGUCCCCUCUCAGGCAGAUGGGAAUCCGCUAUUGAACCACCUCGACGAUUGGCUGGUUUUUGUCAGAUCAGAACGGGAACUGAACGCUCACAAAGAGCUGCUGCUCAGUCACUUAGAGCACCUCGGGUUGGUCAUCAACCCACGCAAGAGCCAGUUGUUGCCCAGACAAUGAACUGUCUUUCUGGGAAUGGUUCUGGACUCCGCCCUAAUGCGAGCGUGGAUUUUGCCGGAUCAGCCCCUGACUAUUCAGCAAUAGAUGGCCUCCCACCAUCAGGGGACGACACGCCCCCUGAGGGUUUUUCAGAGGCUGCUCGGCCUUAUGGCCACUGCCGCUUCUGUAA